rnacentral:sRNA from 1 species
CCCCAGCUCAAGGGUAUAGUGACCAGGUUAUAUUGCAGGCAAGGCUACUACUUGCAAAUGCACCCCGAUGGAGCUCUCGAUGGAACCAAGGAUGACAGCACUAAUUCUACACUCUUCAACCUCAUACCAGUGGGACUACGUGUUGUUGCCAUCCAGGGAGUGAAAACAGGGUUGUAUAUAGCCAUGAAUGGAGAAGGUUACCUCUACCCAUCAGUAAGUAAGACGCCAAAGAUCUCGGCCAUUCGUUCAAUGCAUGUAAAAUAACAAUGGCAGCAACAACAAAAAGAAAGUUCUAUGUCUGUUGUUUCUGCCAGUUUUUGCCUUAGUAUUUGAUCUUUGCGAGAAUGCUUAGAAGCUGUUUAUUAUUCACCAGUGUUUAGUAAUAUGAGUUUAUCUAAAGGAAGUGUAAUACUGUGUCUUAAAUAGUGCUUUUGCCAUAUUUUAAAAAAUAACCUAGUAUACACGUGAAUCUAAUCUUUUGUAUUUCUAGUUAGAAAUGCACUUAUCUUAGAGAGUUUCUUAUAAUUUUUUUAAAAGAAACAAUAUGAAUUCUAAAAAAGAGAAA